CCUCUUCGAUCUGUUGCGGGCAGAUGAAAUGGAUAUGGCUGUCAAAACCGCCGGCAGUCAGGAUCCGGCCUUCGCCCGCGAUCACCUCGGUGCCCGGGCCGACGAUGAUGUCGACGCCCGGUUGGGUGUCGGGAUUGCCGGCCUUGCCGAUCUUGGCGAUGCGGCCACUUUUGAGGCCGACAUCGGCCUUAUAGAUGCCCGUCCAGUCGACGAUCAGCGCGUUGGUGAUCACGGUGUCCACCGCGCCGCCCGCGCGGGUGACCUGGGAUUGGCCCAUACCGUCGCGG
rnacentral:sRNA from 1 species